rnacentral:rRNA from 1 species
UUUUGCAGCCAUACUGCCUUGAGCUGUGAUCUCGUCAGAUCUCAUUAGCUAAGUAAAAAUGAGCUUGGUCGGUAUUUGGAUGGGAGACCUCUAGGGACAUUCAAAUGCUUUUAGGA